AAGGAGCCUCCCUCUAAUCUCUCUCUCUCUCUUUUUGGACUUUGACACUUUGCUGCAGCGACAGUCAGGAGAGUUCAAACACCGACAGAUCUCCAGGAUGUUUCAUGUGAGGCCAAACUCUCACUUUGUUGCAUUCACUGUGGUCUUCCUCGCCGUGAUGCACUCAUGCAGAGGUCGGCAUCUGGUGAUUGGUCCGCCUGAACCAGUAGUUGCACUAGUUGGUGA